AGUGAACGCUGGCGGUAGGCCUAACACAUGCAAGUCGAACGGCAGCACAGUAAGAGCUUGCUCUUACGGGUGGCGAGUGGCGGACGGGUGAGGAGUACAUCGGAAUCUACUUUUUCGUGGGGGAUAACGUAGGGAAACUUACGCUAAUACCGCAUACGACCUACGGGUGAAAGCAGGGGAUCUUCGGACCUUGCGCGAUUGAAUGAGCCGAUGUCGGAUUAGCUAGUUGGCGGGGUAAAGGCCCACCAAGGCGACGAUCCGUAGCUGGUCUGAGAGGAUGAUCAGCCACACUGGAACUGAGACACGGUCCAGACUCCUACGGGAGGCAGCAGUGGGGAAUAUUGGACAAUGGGCACAAGCCUGAUCCAGCCAUACCGCGUGGGUGAAGAAGGCCUUCGGGUUGUAAAGCCCUUUUGUUGGGAAAGAAAAGCAGCAGGUUAAUACCCCGCUGUUCUGACGGUACCCAAAGAAUAAGCACCGGCUAACUUCGUG
rnacentral:rRNA from 1 species